rnacentral:rRNA from 1 species
UGUGAAGAUGCAGUGUACCCGCGGCAAGACGGAAAGACCCCGUGAACCUUUACUAUAGCUUGACACUGAACAUUGAGCCUUGAUGUGUAGGAUAGGUGGGAGGCUUUGAAGUGUGGACGCCAGUCUGCAUGGAGCCGACCUUGAAAUACCACCCUUUAAUGUUUGAUGUUCUAACGUGGACCCGUUACCCGGGUUGCGGACAGUGUCUGGUGGGUAGUUUGACUGGGGCGGUCUCCUCCUAAAGAGUAACGGAGGAGCACGAAGGUUGGCUAAUCCUGGUCGGACAUCAGGAGGUUAGUGCAAUGGCAUAAGCCAGCUUGACUGCGAGCGUGACGGCGCGAGCAGGUGCGAAAGCAGGUCAUAGUGAUCCGGUGGUUCUGAAUGGAAGGGCCAUCGCUCAACGGAUAAAAGGUACUCCGGGGAUAACAGGCUGAUACCGCCCAAGAGUUCAUAUCGACGGCGGUGUUUGGCACCUCGAUGUCGGCUCAUCACAUCCUGGGGCUGAAGUAGGUCCCAAGGGUAUGGCUGUUCGCCAUUUAAAGUGGUACGCGAGCUGGGUUUAGAACGUCGUGAGACAGUUCGGUCCCUAUCUGCCGUGGGCGCUGGAGAACUGAGGGGGGCUGCUCCUAGUACGAGAGGACCGGAGUGGACGCAUCACUGGUGUUCGGGUUGUCAUGCCAAUGGCACUGCCCGGUAGCUAAAUGCGGAAGAGAUAAGUGCUGAAAGCAUCUAAGCACGAAACUUGCCCCGAGAUGAGUUCUCCCUGAGACUUUAGGUCUCCUGAAGGAACGUUGAAGACGACGACGUUGAUAGGCCGGGUGUGUAAGCGCAGCGAUGCGUUGAGCUAACCGGUACUAAUGAACCGUGAGGCUUAACCUUACAACGCCG